rnacentral:rRNA from 1 species
UACGGAGGGUGCAAGCGUUACUCGGAAUCACUGGGCGUAAAGAGCGUGUAGGCGGGUGAAUAAGUCAGAGGUGAAAUCCAAUAGCUCAACUAUUGAACUGCUUUUGAAACUGUAUACCUAGAAUGUGGGAGAGGCAGAUGGAAUUUCUGGUGUAGGGGUAAAAUCCGUAGAGAUCAGAAGGAAUACCGAUUGCGAAGGCGAUCUGCUGGAACAUUAUUGACGCUGAGACGCGAAAGCGUGGGGAGCAAACAGGAUUAGAUACCCUGGUAGUCCACGCCCUAAACGAUGUACACUAGUUGUUGUGAGGCUCGACCUUGCAGUAAUGCAGUUAACACAUUAAGUGUACCGCCUGGGGAGUACGGUCGCAAGAUUAAAACUCAAAGGAAUAGACGGGGACCCGCACAAGCGGUGGAGCAUGUGGUUUAAUUCGACGAUACACGAAGAACCUUACCUGGACUUGACAUAGUAAGAACUUUCUAGAGAUAGAUUGGUGUCUGCUUGCAGAAACUUAUAUACAGGUGCUGCACGGCUGUCGUCAGCUCGUGUCGUGAGAUGUUGGGUUAAGUCCCGCAACGAGCGCAACCCUCGUCAUUAGUUGCUAACAGUUCGGCUGAGAACUCUAAUGAGACUGCCUACGCAAGUAGGAGGAAGGUGAGGACGACGUCAAGUCAUCAUGGCCCUUACGUCCAGGGCUACACACGUGCUACAACGGGGCAUACAAAGAGCAGCAAUACCGCGAGGUGGAGCAAAUCUCAAAAAUGUCUCUCAGUUCGGAUUGUAGUCUGCAACUCGACUACAUGAAGUUGGAAUCGCUAGUAAUCGUAGAUCAGCUAUGCUACGGUGAAUACGUUCCCGGGUCU